rnacentral:rRNA from 1 species
GCUGACUGCGUGCUUUUUGUAGAACGAGCCUGCGAGUUACAGUAUGCAGCAAGGUUAAGCUGUGUAAGUGGAGCCGAAGCGAAAGCGAGUCUGAAUAGGGCGACAUAGUUGUAUGCUGUAGACCCGAAGCCGGGUGAUCUAUCCAUGGCCAGGGUGAAGCGAAGGUAAAACUUUGUGGAGGCCCGAACCCACUAAGGCUGAAAACUUAGGGGAUGAGCUGUGGAUAGGGGUGAAAGGCCAAUCAAACCCGGAGAUAGCUGGUUCUCCUCGAAAUAGCUUUAGGGCUAGCCUCAAGUGUUUGAUUCUGGUGGUAGAGCACUGAAUGAACUAGGGACCUUACAAGGUUACCAAAUUCAAUCAAACUCCGAAUGCUGGAAUUUUAGAACUUGGGAGUCAGACUAUGAAGGAUAAGCUCCAUAGUCGAAAGGGAAACAGCCCAGACCAUCGGCUAAGGUCCCAAAAUAUAUACUAAGUGGCAAAGGAUGUGAGAAGGCAAAGACAACCAGGAUGUUUGCUUAGAAGCAGCAAUCAUUUAAAGAGUGCGUAACAGCUCACUGGUCAAGUGUUUUUGCGCCGAAAAUGUAACGGGGCUCAAGUAUAUUACCGAAGCCAUGGACUAUACUUUGUAUAGUGGUAGAGGAGCGUUCUGUAAGGAUUGAAGCUCAACCGGAAGGUUGGGUGGACUUUACAGAAGUGAGAAUGCAGGCAUAAGUAACGAAAGACAGGCGAGAAACCUGUCCGCCGAAUACCCAAGGUUUCCUGGGGAAGGUUAAUCCGCCCAGGGUUAGUCGAGACCUAAGCCGAGGCUGAAGAGCGUAGGCGAUGGAUAACAGGCUAAUAUUCCUGUACAAUUAAAUUACAUUAUCACCAAUGGGGUGACGCAGAAAGGUAGGUCAUCGUGGUUUGGUUGACUACGUGCAAGCGAGUAGGGUGCUGUCCAGGUAAAUCCGGAUAGCAUUAAACCUGAGACGUGAUGCCGAUCCGAUUUAGGCGAAGUGAUUGAUCCUAUGCUGUCAAGAAAAACCUCUAGGGAGUAAUUUAAUUCUCGUACCAAAACCGACACAGGUAGGUAGGUAGAGAAUACCAAGGCGAUCGAGAUAACUCUUGUUAAGGAACUCGGCAAAAUAGCCCCGUAACUUCGGGAUAAGGGGUGCCUGAGUAACGUGAAAGAACUUGCUUUUGUAGCGUGAAAAGGUUGCAAUAACCAGGCUCAAGCGACUGUUUACUAAAAACACAGGUCUCUGCUAAGUCGUAAGACGAUGUAUAGGGGCUGACGCCUGCCCGGUGCUGGAAGGUUACGAGGAGGGGUUAGGACUUCGGUCCGAAGCUUCGAAUCUAAGCCCCAGUAAACGGCGGCCGUAACUAUAACGGUCCUAAGGUAGCGAAAUUCCUUGUCGGGUAAGUUCCGACCUGCACGAAUGGCGUAACGAUUUGAGCGCUGUCUCAACAAGGGACUCGGUGAAAUUAUAAUAUUGGUAAAGAUACCAAUUACCCACAGAAGGACGGAAAGACCCCGUGAACCUUUACUGUAGCCUGAUAUUGGAUUUUGGUCUGUCAUAUGCAGAAUAGGUAGGAGGCUGUGAAGUCUGGGCGCUAGCUCAGGUGGAGCCAACCGUGAGAUACUACCUUUGGUAUACUAGGAUUCUAACUAUAUUCCGUAAUCCGGAUAUAGGACAGUGGCAGGUGGGCAGUUUGACUGGGGCGGUCGCCUCCUAAAAUGUAACGGAGGCGUCCAAAGGUUCCCUCAGAGUGUUUGGCAAUCACUCGUAGAGUACAAGAGCAUAAGGGAGCUUGACUGUGAGACCGACAGGUCGAGCAGGAACGAAAGUUGGGUCUAGUGAUCCGGCGGCUCAGAUUGGAAUGGCCGUCGCUCAACGGAUAAAAGGUACUCCGGGGAUAACAGGCUUAUCUCCCCCAAGAGUCCAUAUCGACGGGGAGGUUUGGCACCUCGAUGUCGGCUCAUCGCAUCCUGGGGCUGGAGAAGGUCCCAAGGGUAUGGCUGUUCGCCAUUUAAAGCGGUACGCGAGCUGGGUUUAGAACGUCGUGAGACAGUUCGGUCCCUAUCCUCUGUGGGCGCAGGAGAAUUGCGGGAAUUUGUCCCUAGUACGAGAGGACCGGGAUGAGUGAACCUCUGGUGUGUCAGUUGUUCCGCCAGGAGCAUUGCUGAUUAGCCAAGUUUGUAAGGGAUAAGUGCUGAAGGCAUAUAAGCACGAAGCCCCUCCCAAGACUAGUUCUCCCAUCCAUUUGGAGUAAGACCCCAUGUAGAUUACAUGGUUGAUAGGUCAGAAGUGUAAGCGCAGCAAUGUGUGUAGCUGACUGAUACUAAUAGGUCGAGGACUUAUUUUU